rnacentral:sRNA from 1 species
UCUUGGUGAGGGAUUGAAUUGGGUUCGAAGGUUUUUAUUUGUUGAGGGAGGCGGGGAGUGCACAGAGAGCUAGAGGUGUGUGAUUUGCAGAAAUAGGGACUUGAGGACGAGAGAAACAAAAUAGGAAGAAUGCAAGACAAAAACGGAUUGGAUUCUUUUGUGCUUAGAUGUUUUUUAAAUUGAUUUAGGCUUUUGUUUGGAGAAGACAACAGUUGUUGACACAGAGAGUUUGGUUCUUGGUGUCUGAGAGAGGGACCUGGAUUCUUCUUUAAAGAGCAAAGAGACCUUUGAGACGGGGAAUUGGGUUCGUGGUGUCUGAGAGAGAGAGUUGGGUUCCAGUUUUGUGCCCUUUUUUUACCUAUUUGUUUGCUCUUAGUUCGCAUUUAUCAUUUGUGUUUUCAAUUUUUUGUUUGUUUGAUCUCUUAUAUGAAUAUGUUUUGUUCUUUGUUUGCAAUCGUGAUUAUUAAAGUGAUGUGUGUUUGUGUUUGGGAUGUAAGUGAUAAGGUAUAAUGCUAAUUUGGUUCUUGAAGACAAUUUGGAGAAAAUCUCUUUGGUAUGGCCUAUAAAGAUUUGGUCUUGUAUCAAUGAAUGAUCGACCAACAACAGCUGCCAAAUGGGUUUUUGAGACUGAUUGGCCAAAAGAAGCUGAUUCACUUGCGGUUUGGAAAUAGGAGGACUAAUUUCAACUCAAGUAAUGUGCUGAUUUACAAUGUGUCCGACGAUACAACUAUGGAACCAAUAACCUCAAAUAUGUUGUCAAGAGAAGUCGCAAUAUCUUCCACUACUGUGUCAUCUUCGACCUCAACACCUGAAACAAGCGGCCAAUAGUAUAAACAAAAGUGGGAAUCUGUGAGGAGAGCUUUUUUAUUGGCGGCAGACAAAGCGAGGCAGAGGAAAUUUCAGAAGCUGAUCCAAAAGAAUUUGAUGAGGUCCUUAUCAAGUCAUUUAAAAAAAAUCACCUCCGACUGCUACAAAAACAGAUGCCAUUGCUUAAAAAAAGGACUAGCCACAAACUGAAGAUAUUUCAACGAGAAUGGGUGAAGAUCGAGGGCAUCAAGGAACACUAUAUAAGGAAGCAUAUGGGCAACAGAGAAAGCCCCCAAAUAAGAGCUCGAAGAAUGAUAUUUGAUCAUCUCUAAAAGAAAUGUCAAAUAUGCCAACUAUGAUUAAAUGACAUCAAGGUUUUCUCCAAAAGAUGUCAUAAUUGACGUGGUAGUGAAGUCAUUUGAUUCCUCGCUUUUUAACUUUUU